rnacentral:snRNA from 1 species
GAAUGUGAGAACAAUCUGGCUAUGGCAUCUGUCACCUCAUCGAUCACUGGAGCUGAUAUGGCUGAUCUAGCUGGCUAAGCAGGUAUCCCUUUCCUUCCUCACUGCUUGAUUUGUGUCCCUGCUGAAGCCUCAGACUCAAUCAAAAAGGACAACCUUUCCCAGUAGUGCAGGACAGCUCUUUGGCUAAGGGAGUAGGAGUUGUCUGUGCUCCCCUGCUACAACCUCCAAACAUGUUAUCAAGGUUUAUUUGUAAUAGAACAUAAGGUAGUCAGGCUUCUAAGACUUUAGACAUGUCUAAAUGAGGUAUUGCAGAUAGCAAUCUGCCUUUCUAA